rnacentral:rRNA from 1 species
UACGUAGGGUGCAAGCGUUAAUCGGAAUUACUGGGCGUAAAGCGUGCGCAGGCGGUUAUGUAAGACAGGUGUGAAAUCCCCGGGCUUAACCUGGGAACUGCAUUUGUGACUGCAUAGCUAGAGUACGGUAGAGGGGGAUGGAAUUCCGCGUGUAGCAGUGAAAUGCGUAGAUAUGCGGAGGAACACCGAUGGCGAAGGCAAUCCCCUGGACCUGUACUGACGCUGAGACGCGAAAGCGUGGGGAGCAAACAGG